UGCACGGUGGUGCAGUUGGUAGCACUGUUGACUCACAGCAGGAAGGUCCUGGGUUCGACUCCUGGCCGGGUGUCUUUCUGCAU